rnacentral:rRNA from 1 species
AGGAGAGUUUGAUCCUGGCUCAGGACGAACGCUGGCGGCGUGCCUAACACAUGCAAGUCGAGCGGGGACAUGCGACGGAUUUGAAGUUUUCGGAUGGAAAUGAAGAUGUAUGUUCUAGCGGCGGACGGGUGAGUAACGCGUGAGCAACCUGUCCCUUACAGGGGGAUAACACAGCGAAAGUUGUACUAAUACCGCAUAAGACCACGGUAUCACAUGGUACAGGGGUCAAAGGAGCAAUCCGGUAAGGGAUGGGCUCGCGUCCGAUUAGAUAGUUGGUGAGGUAACGGCCCACCAAGUCGACGAUCGGUAGCCGACCUGAGAGGGUGAUCGGCCACAUUGGGACUGAGACACGGCCCAAACUCCUACGGGAGGCAGCAGUGGGGAAUAUUGGGCAAUGGGGGGAACCCUGACCCAGCAACGCCGCGUGAGGGAAGAAGGUUUUCGGAUCGUAAACCUCUGUCCUUGGUGAAGAGUAAGAGACGGUAGCCAAGGAGGAAGCCCCGGCUAACUACGUGCCAGCAGCCGCGGUAAUACGUAGGGGGCGAGCGUUGUCCGGAAUGAUUGGGCGUAAAGGGCGCGUAGGCGGCCUGAUAAGUCUGAAGUGAAAGUCCUGGUUUUAAGCUGGGAAUUGCUUUGGAUACUGUCGGGCUUGAGUGCAGGAGAGGUAAGUGGAAUUCCCAGUGUAGCGGUGAAAUGCGUAGAGAUUGGGAGGAACACCAGUGGCGAAGGCGACUUACUGGACUGUAACUGACGCUGAGGCGCGAAAGUGUGGGGAGCAAACAGGAUUAGAUACCCUGGUAGUCCCCU